rnacentral:tRNA from 1 species
GAGGGUAUAGCUCAGUGGUAGAGCGCAUGCCUAGCAUGCACGAGGUCCUGGGUUCAAUCCCCAGCACCUCCA